GGUAUCAGAAGUGCGAAUGCUGACAUAAGUAACGAUAAAGCGGGUGAAAAGCCCGCUCGCCGGAAGACCAAGGGUUCCUGUCCAACGUUAAUCGGGGCAGGGUGAGUCGACCCCUAAGGCGAGGCCGAAAGGCGUAGUCGAUGGGAAACGGGUUAAUAUUCCCGUACUUGGUGUUACUGCGAAGGGGGGACGGAGAAGGCUAUGUUGGCCGGGCGACGGUUGUCCCGGUUUAAGCGUGUAGGUGUGUGUUCCAGGUAAAUCCGGUUCACUUUAACACUGAGGCGUGAUGACGAGGCACUACGGUGCUGAAGCAACAAAUGCCCUGCUUCCAGGAAAAGCCUCUAAGCAUCAGGUAACAUCAAAUCGUACCCCAAACCGACACAGGUGGUCAGGUAGAGAAUACCAAGGCGCUUGAGAGAACUCGGGUGAAGGAACUAGGCAAAAUGGUGCCGUAACUUCGGGAGAAGGCACGCUGACAUGUAGGUGAAGUGAUUUACUCAUGGAGCUGAAGUCAGUCGAAGAUACCAGCUGGCUGCAACUGUUUAUUAAAAACACAGCACUGUGCAAACACGAAAGUGGACGUAUACGGUGUGACGCCUGCCCGGUGCCGGAAGGUUAAUUGAUGGGGUCAGCGCAAGCGAAGCUCCUGAUCGAAGCCCCGGUAAACGGCGGCCGUAACUAUAACGGUCCUAAGGUAGCGAAAUUCCUUGUCGGGUAAGUUCCGACCUGCACGAAUGGCGUAAUGAUGGCCAGGCUGUCUCCACCCGAGACUCAGUGAAAUUGAACUCGCUGUGAAGAUGCAGUGUACCCGCGGCAAGACGGAAAGACCCCGUGAACCUUUACUAUAGCUUGACACUGAACAUUGAGCCUUGAUGUGUAGGAUAGGUGGGAGGCUUUGAAGCGUGGACGCCAGUCUGCGUGGAGCCGACCUUGAAAUACCACCCUUUAAUGUUUGAUGUUCUAACGUGGACCCGUUACCCGGGUUGCGGACAGUGUCUGGUGGGUAGUUUGACUGGGGCGGUCUCCUCCUAAAGAGUAACGGAGGAGCACGAAGGUUGGCUAAUCCUGGUCGGACAUCAGGAGGUUAGUGCAAUGGCAUAAGCCAGCUUGACUGCGAGCGUGACGGCGCGAGCAGGUGCGAAAGCAGGUCAUAGUGAUCCGGUGGUUCUGAAUGGAAGGGCCAUCGCUCAACGGAUAAAAGGUACUCCGGGGAUAACAGGCUGAUACCGCCCAAGAGUUCAUAUCGACGGCGGUGUUUGGCACCUCGAUGUCGGCUCAUCACAUCCUGGGGCUGAAGUAGGUCCCAAGGGUAUGGCUGUUCGCCAUUUAAAGUGGUACGCGAGCUGGGUUUAGAACGUCGUGAGACAGUUCGGUCCCUAUCUGCCGUGGGCGCUGGAGAACUGAGGGGGGCUGCUCCUAGUACGAGAGGACCGGAGUGGACGCAUCACUGGUGUUCGGGUUGUCAUGCCAAUGGCACUGCCCGGUAGCUAAAUGCGGAAGAGAUAAGUGCUGAAAGCAUCUAAGCACGAAACUUGCCCCGAGAUGAGUUCU
rnacentral:rRNA from 1 species